rnacentral:rRNA from 1 species
CAACUUUCAGCAACGGAUCUCUUGGCUCUCCCAUCGAUGAAGAACGCAGCGAAAUGCGAUAAGUAAUGUGAAUUGCAGAAUUCAGUGAAUCAUCGAAUCUUUGAACGCACCUUGCGCCCUUUGGUAUUCCGAAGGGCAUGCUUGUUUGAGUGUCAU